UCGAGCAUGUCAUUUCGCGAAUAAUAAGAAUGUGGGAUUUCUAGUUGAGCGAAGAUUACGAAACCUCGUCUCCAGGUUCACUUCCAUCAUUGAAAGAACCGCAACGAUCCGCAUUAAAGUUAAAUUCAACCACUUAAGCCUCAUUUGUGUCAACACCUCGACUGAGGAGAAGGACGAUGAAACUAAAUAGUACACAGAAGAAAUGAUCCAGGUUCCUUCAAAUACUGUUGAAUUAUUCCCAGAUAGCUAAGCUUUUGCAGAGAAAAAAGAUGCCGCCUACAGGGCCACGCUGCGAUCGGGCGC